GACGGAGGAUGCAAGUGUUAUCCGGAAUCACUGGGCGUAAAAGCGUCUGUAGGUGGUUCGAAAAGUCCACUGUUAAAAAUUGAGGCUUAACUUCAAAGAUGCCGUGGAAACUUUCAAACUAGAGUAUGGUAGGGGUAGAGGGAAUUUCCAGUGGAGCGGUGAAAUGCGUAGAUAUUGGAAAGACCACCGAUGGCGAAGGCACUCUACUGGGCCAUUACUGACACUGAGAGACGAAAGCUAGGGGAGCAAAAUGGG
rnacentral:rRNA from 1 species